AGGGAGGGCUAACUGUAUUCCUGGUCGCUCCUGGGACUGGGAGCUCCUGGGGAAGGAAUCCUAAAGGAGUGGUUGUCAAUGCAUUUUCAUUAACAGCCGCGCUUCUCGGCAGCCUCCUAGGGCUGGGGUGGCCACGUGCUCCCUUAAACUGUUUUCACAACUCGAGGCUGUGCUGUGGGUGGCAACUUGAAGGUUUCCAAGAACUUUUCGUUUUUCUUUGGGCCAACAUUUCUGUUUUCUGUCAAUCAAUAGUUUAGUUAUUUAAAAAUAAGAAGGUGAAGAGGGAGUUAUUUAGGGUGGGAACCAGAAUAGACUUCAAAAAAGAAAUCCGUAUUACCCAGUUGGCGUCCCAGCGGUUCCCCGAAUGGCCUAGAGCCCCCAGCACCUGCCGAGGCCGCGCCAUGCACCUGGCUGGGCUCAAACUGGCCAACUCAGACCUGGCCUGGGCGCCCGAAGGCUGCAGGGGGGACGCUCCGGUCCGAGCCACCGCCUGGGCCCGAAAGAGCCGCUCCUGGGAAGCAAUGCCGGGCCAAUCUCAAAUCCCAAAUUCUGGAAAGCACUACUUCCCACGCAGUAAAGGGAAGCCCGGGCGCCUCAAAACCAAACCUUGGAAGACGCUGGAGGAGCAAAGCCUGCAAGUUUCCAUCCACAGCCUCGAAGCCAUGGGUUCUCCCCGGCCCUCUGAAGCCGCCACACCUGUGCCAGCCGGCCGCGUCCUCAGACCUUUCCCCGCGGAGUCUUCCCAGCACUUGGAGACGCAGCGCAGGGCCCCGAGGACGGCCUGGCCCGGAGAAAAGAUACCGAAGCUCCAACUUUCCCCAACCCCGCUCCCCUCCUCCUUCCACCCUCCCUUCCCGCCCCCAAAGCUCGGGGGUCCUAUCCCUCCUCCGGUCCGCGGAGUCUCCCGAACCCUGCGGGGACCCGGCGCUCGGCGGUGCCCUCCUGGGGCGCACGGGGCUGGGGCGGGAGCGAGGAGACCAGGUGGGGAGGGGACCCCAGAUCUCAGACGCCAGGGGAGACGGCGUUUCCCGCUGUUCAUUCAGGUUUGUGCCAAAAGGAGCCUCACAGAUGCAGUAUUGGGUUUGGUAGACUCAAAUCGUCUUGUUUUAAUGUAAAUGAAAGUAAGUUUAGGAUAAAUUCCAGUGCGGCGGGGGCAGGCAAGGCUACCCACAUUUUUUAAAAAGAAGCCAGCCCGUAUUUUUCUCCCUUUCCAAAUCCUCCGCCCCCCAGUCCUUCGACCCAGGCACGAGCGCCCAUCGCGGAGGCCACGAUGCCCGUUUUAUUCCCUCUCCACGGCAAGGAAAAGCAGCGAAAUCUGAGGUCUUCAGAGGUUAACCCUAUCUAGGAGCAGAAUGUGACGCAUUGUAAACAAAUAAAUAUUGAAAACUC
rnacentral:lncRNA from 1 species